rnacentral:misc_RNA from 2 species
ACACCUCAACUCUUCAUGGUUUUCCAUGAUGAGCUUGGACUCUGGGGGUCUUGCUGGCCUGUGGUCGGCUCCUCUCAAAUGAAUCAGCUUGCCGGUGUUUGGUGGGCAUCACAGGUGUGAUAACUAUCUACGCUUGUGGUUUUCCACCAGGGUAACCUUCAGCAGUGGAGGUUCACUGGAGCUCACAAAUGUCUCUCCUCAGUGGGGACAGCCCUUUAAAU